CCGACGUGGACACCCAGUGAGCUGGUCUCCUGGCUCUGUCCUGGUGGCACAUGGGAGCGUAGCUUCGUGCUAAGACGUACAUUCCCCUUCCACAACGUCGCAGAAAAAGUUGCGUCCCCGACUUUUGUCGGCGAGGAUGAACGUCCUGCAUAUUCCUACAACUUCCCAGAGUCCUCUUGGGGCCCUUACUGGGGAGCCAAACCAUGCAGCGCACACCC